GGGCCCGCACAAGCAGUGGAGUAUGUGGUUUAAUUCGAAGCAACGCGAAGAACCUUACCAGGUCUUGACAUCCUAGGAACCUUUCAGAGAUGAGAGGGUGCCCUUCGGGGAACCUAGAGACAGGUGGUGCAUGGUUGUCGUCAGCUCGUGUCGUGAGAUGUUGGGUUAAGUCCCGCAACGAGCGCAACCCUUAUCAUUAGUUGCUACGCAAGAGCACUCUAGUGAGACUGCCGUUGACAAAACGGAGGAAGGUGGGGAUGACGUCAAAUCAUCAUGCCCCUUAUGACCUGGGCUACACACGUACUACAAUGGCUAUUAACAGAGGGAAGCAAAGCCGCGAGGUGGAGCAAAUCCCCAAAAAUAGUCUCAGUUCGGAUUGUAGGCUGCAACUCGCCUACAUGAAGUCGGAAUUGCUAGUAAUCGCAGAUCAGCAUGCUGCGGUGAAUACGUUCCCGGGCCUU
rnacentral:rRNA from 1 species